rnacentral:rRNA from 1 species
GACGAACGCUGGCGGCGUGCUUAACACAUGCAAGUCGAACGGAAAGGCCCUGCUUUUGUGGGGUGCUCGAUUGGCGAACGGGUGAGUAACACGUGAGUAACCUGCCCUUGACUUUGGGAUAACUUCAGGAAACUGGGGCUACUACCGGAUAGCAGCUCCUGCUGCAUGGUGGGGGUUGGAAAGUUUCGGCGGUUGGGGCUGGACUCGCGGCUUAUCAGCUUGUUGGUGGGGUAGUGGCUUACCAAGGCUUUGACGGGUAGCCGGCCUGAGAGGGUGACCGGCCACAUGGGGACUGAGAUACGGCCCAGACUCCUACGGGAGGCAGCAGUGGGGAAUAUUGCACAAUGGGCGGAAGCCUGAUGCAGCAACGCCGCGUGCGGGAUGACGGCCUGCGGGUUGUAAACCGCUUUCGCCUGUGACGAAGCGUGAGUGACGGUAAUGGGUAAAGAAGCACCGGCUAACUACGUG